GGCACCAGCAUGAUAUCAUUGAUCAUUGCUCCCAAAGACCAGAUUUCACCAGUGGCAAAUAUGUUAGCAGAUGAGUUUGGAAGUACAUCUAACAUUAAGUCACGAGUUAACUGCCUUUCAGUCCUGGAAGCCAUUACAUCUGUGCAACAGAGACUCCAACUUUAUAACAAAGUACCUCCAAAUGGUCUGGUUGGUUACUGUGGAACAAUUGUAACAGAAGAAGGAAAAGAAAAGAAAGUCAAACUUGACUUUGAACCUUUCAAACCAAUUAGUACAUCAUUGUAUUUGUGUGACAACAAAUUCCAUACAGAGGCUCUUACGGCACUACUUUCCCAUGAUAGCAAGUUUGGAUUCAUUGUAAUAGAUGGUAGUGGUGCACUUUUUGGCACUCUCCAAGGAAACACAAGAGAAGUCUUACACAAAUUCACUGUGGAUCUCCCAAAGAAACACUGUAGAGGAGGUCAGUCAGCCUUGCGUUUUGCCCGUUUAAGAAUGGAAAAGCAACAUAACUAUGUUCGGAAAGUAGCAGAGACUGCUGUGCAGCUGUUUAUUUCUGAGGACAAAGUGAAUGUGGCUGGUCUUGUUUUAGCUGGAUCAGCUGACUUUAAAACUGAACUAAGUCAAUCUGAUAUGUUUGAUCAGAGGUUGCGAUCAAAAGUUUUAAAAUUAGUUGAUAUAUCCUAUGGUGGUGAAAAUGGAUUCAACCAAGCUAUUGAGUUAUCCACUGAAGUCCUCUCCAGCGUGAAAUUUAUUCAAGAGAAGAAAUUAAUAGGACGAUACUUUGAUGAAAUCAGCCAGGACACCGGCAAGUACUUCUUUGGCGUUGAAGAUACACUAAAGGCUUUGGAAAUGGGAGCUGUAGAGAUUCUAAUAGUCUAUGAAAAUCUGGAUACAAUGAGAUUCGUUCUUCAUUCCCAAGGCACAGAAGAGGAGAAAAUUCUCUAACUCCAGAACAAGAAAAGGAUAAAUCUCAUUUCACAGACAAAGAGUCAGGCCAGGAACAUGAGCUUAUUGAGAGCAUGCCCCUGUUGGAAUGGUUUGCUAACAAUUACAAAAAAUUUGGAGCUACAUUGGAAAUUGUCACAGAUAAGUCACAAGAAGGAUCCCAAUUUGUGAAAGGAUUUGGUGGAAUUGGAGGUAUCUUGCGGUACUGAGUAGAUUUCCAGGGAAUGGAAUACCAAGGAGGAGACGAUGAAUUUUUUGACUUUGAUGACUACUAGGUAGUCGACAUGGGUCCGGCAAAACGUGCCUCACCCUCCAGCAUCCAACCCAAGGAGCAUACCUUUGGUGGAAUCCAAACAGAUCCCUGCCUUACAAUUGGAACAUUUCCAGAACUUAAUCCAUGAGCAUUGGAUAUUGAAAAGAAAACCGAAACA